rnacentral:rRNA from 1 species
UACGUAGGGCGCAAGCGUUGUCCGGAAUUAUUGGGCGUAAAGAGCUCGUAGGCGGUCUGUUGCGUCCGCUGUGAAAACUCGGGGCUUAACCCCGAGCCUGCAGUGGAUACGGGCAGACUAGAGGUAGGUAGGGGAGAAUGGAAUUCCCGGUGUAGCGGUGAAAUGCGCAGAUAUCGGGAGGAACACCGGUGGCGAAGGCGGUUCUCUGGGCCUUACCUGACGCUGAGGAGCGAAAGCGUGGGGAGCAAACGGG